CGGGUGAGUAACACGUAUGGCAACCUGCCUGCCACAGCCGGAUAAUCGGGAGAAAGUUCCGUCUAAUACGGCAUAAUGCAUCGACGGGACAUCCUGUUGGUGCCAAAGGUUGAUUCCGGUGGCGGAUGGGCAUGCGUCGCAUUAGUUAGUUGGCGGUGUAACGGACCGACCAAGACGACGAUGCGUAGGGGUUCUGGAGAGGAAGGUCCCCCACACCUGGUACUGAGACACGGACCAGACUCCUACGGAAGGCAGCAG
rnacentral:rRNA from 1 species